CAAGUCGAGGGGUAAAUAUGGUAGCAAUAUCGUAUGAGACCGGCGCACGGGUGCGUAACACGUAUACAAUCUGCCCGUAACUGGGGCAUAGCCCGGAGAAAUCCGGAUUAAUACCCCAUAUUAUAAGGACAUGGCAUCAUGAUCUUAUCAAAGCUCCGGCGGUUACGGAUGAGUAUGCGCAACAUUAGCUAGUUGGUGAGGUAAUGGCUCACCAAGGCGACGAUGUUUAGGGGGUCUGAGAGGAUGAUCCCCCACACUGGUACUGAGACACGGAUCAGACUCCUACGGGAGGCAGCAGUAGGGAAUAUUGGUCAAUGGACGCAAGUCUGAACCAGCCAUGCCGCGUGCAGGAAGAAGGUCCUAUGGAUUGUAAACUGCUUUUCUACGGGAAGAAACCCCUGGAUGCGUCCGGGGCUGACGGUACCGUAGGAAUAAGGAUCGGCUAACUCCGUGCCAGCAGCCGCGGUAAGACGGAGGAUCCAAGCGUUGUCCGGAUUUACUGGGUUUAAAGGGUGCGUAGGCGGAUGACUAAGUCAGUGGUGAAAGCCUGUAGCUUAACUACAGAAGUGCCACUGAAACUGGUUGUUUUGAGUACGGUUGAGGUUGUUGGAAUGCAUCAUGUAGCGGUGAAAUGCUUAGAUAUGAUACAGAACACCAAUUGCGAAGGCAGACAACUAAGCCGUAACUGACGCUGAGGCACGAAAGCGUGGGGAGCAAACAGGAUUAGAUACCCUGGUAGUCCACGCUGUAAACGUUGAUUACUCGCUGCUGGCGAUACACAGUCAGCGGCUAAGCGAAAGCGUUAAGUAAUCCACCUGGGAAGUACGAUCGCAAGAUUGAAACUCAAAGGAAUUGACGG
rnacentral:rRNA from 1 species